rnacentral:rRNA from 1 species
GGACUACACGGGUAUCUAAUCCUGUUUGCUCCCCACGCUUUCGCGCCUGAGCGUCAGCAAUCGGCCAGGGCACUGCCUUCGCCAUAGGUGUUCUUCCGGAUCUCUACGCAUUUCACCGCUCCACCCGGAGUUCCAUGCCCCUCUCCGAUGCUCAAGCCCAGCCGUUUGCCUGGACCUCUCCCGGUUAAGCCGAGAGCUUUCACCAGACACGCGCUGGGCCGCCUGCGCGCCCUUUACGCCCAGUCAUUCCGGACAACGCUCGUCUCCUACGUAUUACCGCGGCUGCUGGCAC